rnacentral:rRNA from 1 species
GGUUAAGUCCCGCAACGAGCGCAACCCCUAUCUUUAGUUGCCAUCAGGUUGGGCNGGGCACUCUAGAGAGACUGCCGGUGACAAGCCGGAGGAAGGUGGGGAUGACGUCAAGUCCUCAUGGCCCUUAUGUCCUGGGCUACACACGUGCUACAAUGGCGGUGACAGUGGGAAGCUAGGUGGUGACACCAUGCUGAUCUCUAAAAGCCGUCUCAGUUCGGAUUGCACUCUGCAACUCGAGUGCAUGAAGGUGGAAUCGCUAGUAAUCGCGGAUCAGCAUGCCGCGGUGAAUACGUUCCCGGGUCUUGUACACAC